rnacentral:rRNA from 1 species
AUGUUUAAGUUUCCGGCUGCAUUGUGUGAGGAGUUAUCACAGAUUAUAAGGAAUUUUUUGUGGGGUGAUGAGGAGGAUAAGAGCAAGACUCAUCGACUGGCUUGGGAUCAAUUGACAAGUCCUAAAGCUGAGGGAGAGAUGGGAUUCCGAGAUCUCAAACUUUUUAAUCAAGCGCUGUUAGCGAAGCAGGCGUGGAGGUUGGUGGUCAACCCUGAUUCUCUGUGCGCCAAAGCGGUCAAGGCAAAAUAUUACCCACAGGGACUUAUCCUCGACAUUGUAUUUCCUCUGUCGGCCUCACUGCCUUGGCAAGCUCUUAUGCAUGGAUUGGAGUUGCUGAAAUUGGGAGUUAUUUGGAUAGUGCGUGAUGGCUCUAAUAUUAAUAUUUGGAGAGAUAACUGGCUCCCAAGGCACUCUGGACUUAAAAUUACGGCAAGGAAGAGUAGGACGAGAAUGAAAUGGGUGUCUGAUUUGAUUCUGACUGGUCCAAAAGGAUGGGACGAGAAUUUGGUUAGGCACCUAUUUUACCCACAUGAUGCAGAAGAGACCCUUCGGCUGCGUAUUCCAUCUUCACGGGAAGGUGAUUUUGUUGCAUGGCACUUUGAGAAGACGGGGAUGUUUUCAGUUAAAAGCGCGUACAAGCAUGCACUCACGUUAAAGGAACAAAAAGAAGACGAGGGGCAAUACAGAGAUGCAACAUUGGGGGAGAGGAAAAUUUGGGACAUCAUCUGGAAGGCCAAUGUUCCUCAGAAGAUCCAUAUUUUUGCAUGGCGGGUUGCUACCAAUAGUUUGGCUGUCCAAGUAAACAGAAUGGCGCACCACCAAGCGGUUCUCUGUACGUGCUCGAUAUGUGGAGUGGAGGACGAGAAUAUGUUUCAUGCGCUUAUUAUUUGCGCGAAGGCUCAUGCGUUGCGUAUGGCCAUGAGAGAUAUUUGGGAGUUACCUACGGAGGAUGCAUUCAGGUAUACUGAGUCGGAAUGGUUUCUUGUUCUUCUAAGUCCAGUGGGACAGUCUGUGCGGGACAAAAUUAUUUUCAUUUUUUGGAGAGCCUGGCACUUGAGAAAUGAUUUGAUUUUUUGGCAAGGGCACAGAGUCAGUCACAAAUUCAACCAAUUUUGUUGA